rnacentral:rRNA from 1 species
CGUGCAUAACACAUUCAAGUCGAACGGAGUUGUUUUGAUUAAUCCUUCGGGAAGCGUCAGGACAACUUAGUGGCGGACGGGUGAGUAGCGCGUGAGCAACCUGCCCUUGCGUGGGGGAUAACGUUUGGAAACGAACGCUAAUACCGCAUAACGUACCGAGAUUGCAUGGUUUUGGUACCAAAGAUUUAUUGCGCAAGGAUGGGCUCGCGUCUGAUUAGGUAGUUGGUGAGGUAACGGCUCACCAAGCCGACGAUCAGUAGCCGGACUGAGAGGUUGAACGUCCACAUUGGAACUGGGAUACGGGCCAGACUCCUACGGGAGGCAGCAGUGGGGAAUAUUGGGCAAUGGGCGAAAGCCUGACCCAGCGACGCCGCGUGAGGGAAGAAGGUCUUCGGAUUGUAAACCUUUGUUGACAGGGACGAAACAAAUGACGGUACCUGUCGAGGAAGCCACGGCUAACUACGUGCCAGCCGCCACCGUAACAC